CUAUGGAAUAAUAGCUUUUCCGUGGAGGCGCCUCUAGUGCUCAGAAACUCAAAUUCCUGUGCAGGAGCUCCACCUAUUGGCAUGCGAAACAGGAGAAACUGUGUGGAUCUUGGCUAAAAAGAUAAAACCCAGAAAAUGAAUAAAAGGCCUGGAGUUGAUGUUGAACCUCCCAUUGAUGAGAUGAGAACCAUGACUAUUGGAAGAUGCAGAGUUCGAGCUCCAUUACCAAGAACUCGAAAAGUGAAUCCCCCAGCAUGGGGACAACUAAAAAAGAUGACAUGGGAAGUUGAGAAGAUUGUACAACAGACCGGACAGGCAUGCAGCACUUCAAAUUUGUUUCUGGCUAUGAUUGCCGUGUUCACCAUGAGGUCUGGAGAAGAGCUGCCCAAAAACAUCAACGUGCUCAGCAGCAAUCAGCAAUCUUCUCACUAAUGCUACAAAAGAUGCAAGCUAAACAAAAAGGGGGAAAUGUAGAUAUCCCAGCAGUUAACCUUGCUGUAACUUAGUUCCCACUUAAACUUAAUCUAUAGCCGAAACUAAUCUGAGAAGAACAAUGGGUGCUGCGUCUUGGAAUCUGGUAUGAGUCCUGAACAGUGUUACAAGGACUGCAAACAGUUCUCCGGAUCCUUUCUGAGGCAAACCCAAGUAAGGAACACACCGUGAGACUCACCUGGCUGGAUGACUUGAUGAGACAUAAGAGAAACUUUUCAGAGGUGAUUAGUUUGCAAUUGUUGAGACUCACAUGGCCAAAUGACUUAACGAGACAUAAGAGAAACUUAAAGAGGUGAUUAGUUUGCAAUUGUUUAAGCUGAUGAAAAAACUCAUCCUAUAAUCAUUAAUCGAUGCCUGUCUUUUUACUUGCUGUAACUUAAAAGUGCAGGGGAGCGCUGACUUGGUGCUUAGUCUCCAAAGAAGUCUAAGCCCUCUGCAUUAAAUGUCAUUCUGACUCGGUUUCUCAUUUUCACGGUCCCUGACUGCAACAAUAUUAUCUCACUUAUAUGUGGAAUCUUAGAAAGCCUACCUCUUAGACACAGAGUAGAUUGGUGGUUGCCAUGAGCUACAGGGUGGUAGAAAUGCAUGAUAUCCAUCAAAGGCUAACAAACUUCUAAUUAGAAGAUGAAUAAAUUCUGGAGAUCUAAUACUCAGCACUGUGAUUAUAGUUAAUGAUACUGUAUUAGAUACUUGAAAGUUAAGAAUAGAGAUCUUAAAUGUUCUCACUGCAAAAAAAAAUAGUAUAUUAUGUGAUGGAGGUAUAAGCUAAUGCUAU